rnacentral:rRNA from 1 species
GAUGAACGCUGGCGGCGUGCCUAAUACAUGCAAGUCGAGCGAACGGACGAGAAGCUUUCUUCUCUGAUGUUAGCGGCGGACGGGUGAGUAACACGUGGAUAACCUACCUAUAAGACUGGGAUAACUUCGGGAAACCGGAGCUAAUACCGGAUAAUAUUUUGAACCGCAUGGUUCAAAAGUGAAAGACGGUCUUGCUGUCACUUAUAGAUGGAUCCGCGCUGCAUUAGCUAGUUGGUAAGGUAACGGCUUACCAAGGCAACGAUGCAUAGCCGACCUGAGAGGGUGAUAGACCACACUGGCACUGGAACAGGGUAAAGACUCCUACGGGAGGCAGCAGUAGGGAAUCUUCCGCAAUGGGCGCAAGCCUGACGGAGCACCGCCGCGUGAGUGAUGAAGGUCUUCGGAUCGUAAAACUCUGUUAUUAGGACAGCACAUACGUGUAAGUAACUGUGCACAUCUUGAAGGUCCCUAACAAGAAAGACACGGCUAAGUACGUG